UGGGGAAUUUUGGACAAUGGGGGCAACCCUGAUCCAGCGACGCCGCGUGAAGGAUGAAGGUCUUCGGAUUGUAAACUUCUUUUGAUGGGGAUGAAUGCCUGAGUGAAUAACUCAGGGUGACAGUACCCGUUGAAUAAGCCACGGCUAACUACGUGCCAGCAGCCGCGGUAAUACGUAGGUGGCAAGCGAUACUCGGAAUCACUAGGCGUAAAGCGCAGGUAGGCGGUUUGGUAAGUCUUUUGUGAAAGCUCCCGGCUUAACUGGGAGAGGUCAAGGGAAACUACCGGGCUAGAGUGUGGUAGGGGAUACUGGAAUUCCUGGUGUAGCGGUGAAAUGCGUAGAUAUCAGGAGGAAUACCUAUGGCGAAAGCAGGUAUCUGGGCCAUCACUGACGCUGAGCUGCGAAAGCUAGGGGAGCAAACAGGAUUAGAUACCCCCGUAGUCC
rnacentral:rRNA from 1 species